GUGUCAGCAGCCGCGGUAAUACGUAGGUGGCAAGCGUUAUCCGGAAUGAUUGGGCGUAAAGGGUGCGCAGGCUGCGCGUCAAGUCUGAAGUGAAAGGUACGGGCUUAACCGGUACAGGCUUUGGAAACUGGCACGCUAGAGGACAGGAGAGGGCGGUGGAACUCCAUGUGUAGCGGUAAAAUGCGUAGAUAUAUGGAAGAACACCAGUUGCGAAGGCGACCGCCUGGACUGUUGCUGACGCUCAGGCACGAAAGCGUGGGGAGCAAAUAGGAUUAGAUACCCUAGUAGUCCACGCCCUAAACGAUGAGGAGCAGGUGUCGGAGGGAGGACCCCGGUGCCGAAGCUAACGCAGUGACUCCUCCGCCUGGGGAGUAUGCACGCAAGUGUGAA
rnacentral:rRNA from 1 species